GACGAACGCUGGCGGCGUGCCUAAUACAUGCAAGUAGAACGCUGAAGGAGGAGCUUGCUCUUCUGGAUGAGUUGCGAACGGGUGAGUAACGCGUAGGUAACCUGCCUGGUAGCGGGGGAUAACUAUUGGAAACGAUAGCUAAUACCGCAUAACAGUAGAUGUUGCAUGAUAUUUACUUAAAAGGUGCAAUUGCAUCACUACCAGAUGGACCUGCGUUGUAUUAGCUAGUUGGUGGGGUAACGGCUCACCAAGGCGACGAUACAUAGCCGACCUGAGAGGGUGAUCGGCCACACUGAGACUGAGACACGGCACAGACGGCUACAGGAAGCAGCAGUAGGGAAUCUUCGGGAAUGAGCGGAGGUCUGGCCGAGCAGCGCCGCAUGAGUGAAGAAGGAUGUCGGAUCGUGAAGCUCGGUUGUAAGGGAGGAAAGAGUGUGAGAGUGGAAAGAUCACACUGUGACGGUAUCUGACCAGAAAGGGACGGCUAACUACGUG
rnacentral:rRNA from 1 species